rnacentral:rRNA from 1 species
AGAGUUUGAUCCUGGCUCAGGACGAACGCUGGCGGCGUGCUUAACACAUGCAAGUCGAGCGGAAAGGCCCUUCGGGGUACUCGAGCGGCGAACGGGUGAGUAACACGUGAGCAACCUGCCCCUGGCUCUGGGAUAGCCUCCGGAAACGGGGAUUAAUACCGGACAUUCUCCUUCUUCCGCAUGGUUGAGGGUGGAAAGUUUUUUCGGCCGGGGAGGGGCUCGCGGCCUAUCAGCUUGUUGGCGGGGUAACGGCCCACCAAGGCGACGACGGGUAGCCGGCCUGAGAGGGUGUCCGGCCACACUGGGACUGAGAUACGGCCCAGACUCCUACGGGAGGCAGCAGUGGGGAAUAUUGCACAAUGGGCGCAAGCCUGAUGCAGCGACGCCGCGUGGGGGAUGACGGCCUUCGGGUUGUAAACCUCUUUCACCAUCGGCGAAGCCUCUGGGUGUUCUCAGGGGUGACGGUAGGUGGAGAAGAGCA